AGUCUGCAACUCGACUACAUGAAGCUGGAAUCGCUAGUAAUCGCAGAUCAGAAUGCUGCGGUGAAUACGUUCCCGGGUCUUGUACACACCGCCCGUCACACCAUGGGAGCCGGGAAUGCCCGAAGUCGGUGACCCAACCGAAAGGAGGGAGCCGCCGAAGGCAGGUCUGGUAACUGGGGUGAAGUCGUAACAAGGUACC
rnacentral:rRNA from 1 species